CCCGAUUUUGGUAAUUAGAACUCUUUCUAAUUGACAUUCGAAUUAAACUCUUUAAUUCGAACAAAAACAUACAAGUCAAGAUUGACAUCUAGCAACGUAUCAUGACUACCCAAAGGAUAUAAAAAUUUGAUGAAAAUACUAAAUUUACCCUUCAGUGGCAAGUUACCGUGCAAUACAAUCCUUCGAUCAUCCCAGCACCCUGAAUAUGUUCAUGAGUAUGGAAUCAUAUCAAACUCAAACACAUAUUUAUAUUGAUUUUCAAUGAACCAAUGAUGACUCCAAUGAAGAAGCAUUAGAAACUUUUUCUAAUCUCCUUCCUACUUUUGGCCAAAAUAUUUUUUCUAAGUCAUCUACGAAUGAGAAUACACAGGUUGCGAUCUCCUCUUACCAGGAGCGAUCGAUUCUAUGUUAACCUACUCAUAACCUUCGUACACACUCCUACCAUAUCUAGAACACCUGGUAUAUAUCUUAAAGCCAUGCUUGAGUAUGAGCCAAAAUAUGGAUUCAUGUGCAUAAGAUUUUAUGGUGAUCUCAGGUCUAAGGAUCACUUGUACAACUCUCACUUAGAGAACUAUCUUUGACAUGCAAGUAAGAC
rnacentral:lncRNA from 1 species